UACGUAGGUGGCGAGCGUUGUCCGGAAUUACUGGGCGUAAAGGGCGCGUAGGCGGAUAUUUAAGUCAGAUGUGAAAACUCCGGGCUCAACUUGGAGAUUGCAUUUGAAACUGGGUAUCUUGAGGACAGGAGAGGAAAGCGGAAUUCCUAGUGUAGCGGUGAAAUGCGUAGAUAUUAGGAGGAACACCAGUGGCGAAGGCGGCUUUCUGGACUGUAACUGACGCUGAGGCUCGAAAGCGUGGGGAGCAAACAGGAUUAGAUACCCCUGUAGU
rnacentral:rRNA from 1 species